UAGUUUUGACCUGUCGACUCACUGUUUCAUUGAAGGAGAUCAAACUGGAAGGUAGGCGGUCGUUUUGAUAAGAAGGUCCCAUGCUAGCACCACGAUCAUUGGAUUCUUGUUUUUCUGUUGUUGAGAAAAUAGUUUUGACCUGUCGACUCACUGUUUCAUCGAAGGAGAUCAAACUGGAAGGUAGGCGGUCGUUUUGAUAAGAAGGUCCCAUGCUAGCACCACGAUCAUUGGAUUCUUGUUUUUCUGUUUUUGACAAAAUAGUUUUGACAUGUCGAUUCAUUGUUUCAUCGAAGGAGAUCAAACUGGAAGGUAGGCGGUUGUGUUGAUAGGAACUCAUGCUAGUACCAUGAUCAUUGGAUCCUUGUGGCACCU
rnacentral:lncRNA from 1 species